rnacentral:lncRNA from 1 species
UUGUAAAACACUGAUCUUGGAUGAGACCCGCCCGCAGAAUACAAUCAAACCUCGAACAUACCAGGUGGUUCUGGGAGAGUAUGACUGGUCUGUGGAGGAAGGGGAAGAGCAAGUGAUUCCUGUCAACCCUGAUGAGAAAUGGGACCCCAACUGUGUGGCCUGUGGAUGACAGCAGAACAUUAGAGAGGAGCCAGAGCUGGCUUGGAGGAGCCCUUUCAACAGCAGAAGUAAAAACACCUUGGAAAGCUGGCUUUCUGUUUCUCUUUUUUGUUGGCCCCUGGCUCGCUAUAUUUCCCCUGCCUUAUUCCUUUCAACUGUAGGAAUGCAAAUAAAUAGUUUAACCUUAUUGGAUUCCUUAUGAUA